AGAGUUUGAUCCUGGCUCAGAUUGAACGCUGGCGGCAUGCUUUACACAUGCAAGUCGGACGGCAGCACAGAGAAGCUUGCUUCUUGGGUGGCGAGUGGCGAACGGGUGAGUAACAUAUCGGAACGUACCGAGUAGUGGGGGAUAACUGAUCGAAAGAUCAGCUAAUACCGCAUACGUCUUGAGAGGGAAAGCAGGGGACCUUCGGACCUUGCGCUAUUCGAGCGGCCGAUAUCUGAUUAGCUAGUUGGUGGGGUAAAGGCCUACCAAGGCGACGAUCAGUAGCGGGUCUGAGAGGAUGAUCCGCCACACUGGGACUGAGACACGGCCCAGACUCCUACGGGAGGCAGCAGUGGGGAAUUUUGGACAAUGGGCGCAAGCCUGAUCCAGCCAUGCCGCGUGUCUGAAGAAGGCCUUCGGGUUGUAAAGGACUUUUGUCAGGGAAGAAAAGGCUGUUGCUAAUAUCAGCGGCUGAUGACGGUACCUGAAGAAUAAGCACCGGCUAACUACGUGCCAGCAGCCGCGGUAAUACGUAGGGUGCGAGCGUUAAUCGGAAUUACUGGGCGUAAAGCGGGCGCAGACGGUUACUUAAGCAGGAUGUGAAAUCCCCGGGCUCAACCCGGGAACUGCGUUCUGAACUGGGUGACUCGAGUGUGUCAGAGGGAGGUAGAAUUCCACGUGUAGCAGUGAAAUGCGUAGAGAUGUGGAGGAAUACCGAUGGCGAAGGCAGCCUCCUGGGAUAACACUGACGUUCAUGCCCGAAAGCGUGGGUAGCAAACAGGAUUAGAUACCCUGGUAGUCCACGCCCUAAACGAUGUCAAUUAGCUGUUGGGCAACUUGAUUGCUUGGUAGCGUAGCUAACGCGUGAAAUUGACCGCCUGGGGAGUACGGUCGCAAGAUUAAAACUCAAAGGAAUUGACGGGGACCCGCACAAGCGGUGGAUGAUGUGGAUUAAUUCGAUGCAACGCGAAGAACCUUACCUGGUCUUGACAUGUACGGAAUCCUCCAGAGACGGAGGAGUGCCUUCGGGAGCCGUAACACAGGUGCUGCAUGGCUGUCGUCAGCUCGUGUCGUGAGAUGUUGGGUUAAGUCCCGCAACGAGCGCAACCCUUGUCAUUAGUUGCCAUCAUUCGGUUGGGCACUCUAAUGAGACUGCCGGUGACAAGCCGGAGGAAGGUGGGGAUGACGUCAAGUCCUCAUGGCCCUUAUGACCAGGGCUUCACACGUCAUACAAUGGUCGGUACAGAGGGUAGCCAAGCCGCGAGGUGGAGCCAAUCUCACAAAACCGAUCGUAGUCCGGAUUGCACUCUGCAACUCGAGUGCAUGAAGUCGGAAUCGCUAGUAAUCGCAGGUCAGCAUACUGCGGUGAAUACGUUCCCGGGUCUUGUACACACCGCCCGUCACACCAUGGGAGUGGGGGAUACCAGAAGUGGGUAGGAUAACCGCAAGGGGUCCGCUUACCACGGUAUGCUUCAUGACUGGGGUGAAGUCGUAACAAGGUAGCCGUAGGGGAACCUGCGGCUGGAUCACCU
rnacentral:rRNA from 1 species